CUUUUUAUCUGUGUGAUGGCGAAUGCUUGAAUCAAAACCAAUAGUUCCAAACUCGUCAUAUCACUCCCUCUAGUCGCCGAUCAAAAAAAAAUAUCACUCCCUCUAGUUUUGUUAUUAUAUACUAGUUGUUUUUGAUAAUUGAGCAAAAGAGUUAACUAUGGCAACAAGGGGUCUUCAUCACUUGAGCUUUCUAAUCUUGGCCUGCAUUUUGUCUAGCACAGAUUGUGCAAAACAGAGUUAUGAGUCAGCGGAGACGCUCAACCGGAGUAGUUUUCCAGCUGGUUUCGUAUUCGGAGCGAGUUCGGCUUCAUAUCAGUCUGAAGGAGCAGCAUUCCAGGAUGGUAGGGGACUCAGCAUAUGGGAUACCUUCACUAACAAUUAUCCAG